UACGUAGGGUGCAAGCGUUGUCCGGAAUCAUUGGGCGUAAAGCGCGCGUAGGCGGCCCGAUAAGUCCGCUGUAAAAGUCAACGGCUCAACUGUUGAAAGCCGGUGGAUACUGUCGGGCUAGAGUACGGAAGAGGCAAGUGGAAUUCCUGGUGUAGCGGUGAAAUGCGCAGAUAUCAGGAGGAACACCAAUUGCGAAGGCGGCUACCUGGACCGGUUCUGACGCUGAUGCGCGAAAGCGUGGGUAGCAAACAGG
rnacentral:rRNA from 1 species